CGGGCUGUGGCGCAGUUUGGGAGCGCGCUUGAAUGGGGUUCAAGAGGCCGCAGGUUCAAAUCCUGUCAGCCCGACCA
rnacentral:tRNA from 1 species